UACGUAGGGGGCAAGCGUUGUCCGGAAUUAUUGGGCGUAAAGAGCGUGUAGGCGGUCCGGUAAGUCGGCUGUGAAAGUCCAGGGCUCAACCCUGGGAUGCCGGUCGAUACUGCCGGACUAGAGUUCGGAAGAGGCGAGUGGAAUUCCCGGUGUAGCGGUGAAAUGCGCAGAUAUCGGGAGGAACACCUAUGGCGAAGGCAGCUCGCUGGGACGUUACUGACGCUGAGAC
rnacentral:rRNA from 1 species